UCUCUCUCUCUCUCCCCCUUCUGCCAAGCAAGAGCUCUCUCUCAAUCUAGCGGCGAAGCAACCUCCAUGGCACAAUCACUCUUGGUGUUGUGAAAAUGCACUUCUGGUCCUAGAGUAUUGGGCUGAUGCGGCUGAAAUUCAGAGAUCAUCCAAUCUUUAUGAAGAUCUCAUAAAAUUUUAUGUUGCAGAUGCAAUGAGCGAGGUAUAACCUAGCUGUGUGUUUCUUGCUCAGGAUUUGCCAUAAGAAAGAAUGUGCAUGCCUGAACUCUAGGGGUUGCAAUUUUGCAUAUCUAUUUUUGUCAUUUCUUACUAAUAAAACAAAAGUCAUUUCUCUCUCUAAACUGCUCCUGGUAAUGGGAUUAUUAACACAAUUUCAGGUUUUAAUGCUCGGUAUCGGUUCUGACUUGGUAAUGACUGGAUCUGUUCUACUUGUGUGUGGAAAUGAUGUGAGAGUCAAAUGGGUUUUGGAUAUCUUGGAUUAGAUGUUCUGCAUUACAGGUUUCGAGGAUGGACUCUGGCUGGUCAAGGUCAGAGGAGAAGCCAUGUAGGGGGGCAUCUAAACUGGCUCACUGGGAAGUUGCAGAUGCUGCUAACAGUACUUGGUUGGUGUCAUAGAACUAGAUUCAGAAAAGGUCCAGCUGCUAUGCGAUGCACCUAAUGAAGAAGUAGAUGAGAAAAAUAAAGAUCAAAUUGCAAACUUCCUCUGUCCAGGUAACUAUGUCGUUUCUGGAGGUGUGAAAGCAGUGGAAGGUAUGGCAAAGUCAUUUAAGGCUCGAAUGAUGGUUAAUUACUCUUAGAUUAUUAAUUACCAUUUUUCCAUAAUUUGAUAAAAGCUUCAUGCAUUAUGCUUUACCAUAUUUUUGCAUACUUAGCUUGUAUUUCUCUUAAAAGACUAAUGUUUGUGGUACAGAAAUUGAAAUUA